rnacentral:rRNA from 1 species
GAUGAACGCUGGCGGCGUGCCUAAUACAUGCAAGUCGAGCGAACAGAGGAGGAGCUUGCUCCUCUGACGUUAGCGGCGGACGGGUGAGUAACACGUGGAUAACCUACCUAUAAGACUGGGAUAACUUCGGGAAACCGGAGCUAAUACCGGAUAAUAUAUUGAACCGCAUGGUUCAAUAGUGAAAGACGGUUUUGCUGUCACUUAUAGAUGGAUCCGCGCCGCAUUAGCUAGUUGGUAAGGUAACGGCUUACCAAGGCAACGAUGCGUAGCCGACCUGAGAGGGUGAUCGGCCACACUGGAACUGAGACACGGUCCAGACUCCUACGGGAGGCAGCAGUAGGGAAUCUUCCGCAAUGGGCGAAAGCCUGACGGAGCAACGCCGCGUGAGUGAUGAAGGUCUUCGGAUCGUAAAACUCUGUUAUUAGGGAAGAACAAAUGUGUAAGUAACUAUGCACGUCUUGACGGUACCUAAUCAGAAAGCCACGGCUAACUACGUG